ACUCCUACGGGAGGCAGCAGUAGGGAAUCUUCCACAAUGGACGAAAGUCUGAUGGAGCAACGCCGCGUGAGUGAAGAAGGGUUUCGGCUCGUAAAACUCUGUUGUUAAAGAAGAACAUAUCUGAGAGUAACUGUUCAGGUAUUGACGGUAUUUAACCAGAAAGCCACGGCUAACUACGUGCCAGCAGCCGCGGUAAUACGUAGGUGGCAAGCGUUGUCCGGAUUUAUUGGGCGUAAAGCGAGCGCAGGCGGUUUUUUAAGUCUGAUGUGAAAGCCUUCGGCUCAACCGAAGAAGUGCAUCGGAAACUGGGAAACUUGAGUGCAGAAGAGGACAGUGGAACUCCAUGUGUAGCGGUGAAAUGCGUAGAUAUAUGGAAGAACACCAGUGGCGAAGGCGGCUGUCUGGUCUGUAACUGACGCUGAGGCUCGAAAGUAUGGGUAGCAAACAGGAUUAGAUACCCUGGUAGUCCAUACCGUAAACGAUGAAUGCUAAGUGUUGGAGGGUUUCCGCCCUUCAGUGCUGUAGCUAACGCAUUAAGCAUUCCGCCUGGGGAGUACGGCCGCAAGGCUGAAACUCAAAGGAAUUGACGGGGGCCCGCACAAGCGGUGGAGCACGUGGUUUAAUUCGAAGCUACGCGAAGAACCUUACCAGGUCUUGACAUACUAUGCAAAUCUAAGAGAUUAGACGUUCCCUUCGGGGACAUGGAUACAGGUGGUGCAUGGUUGUCGUCAGCUCGUGUCGUGAGAUGUUGGGUUAAGUCCCGCAACGAGCGCAACCCUUAUUAUCAGUUGCCAGCAUUAAGUUGGGCACUCUGGUGAGACUGCCGGUGACAAACCGGAGGAAGGUGGGGAUGACGUCAAAUCAUCAUGCCCCUUAUGACCUGGGCUACACACGUGCUACAAUGGAUGGUACAACGAGUUGCGAACUCGCGAGAGCAAGCUAAUCUCUUAAAGCCAUUCUCAGUUCGGAUUGUAGGCUGCAACUCGCCUACAUGAAGUCGGAAUCACUAGUAAUCGCGGAUCAGCAUGCCGCGGUGAAUACGUUCCCGGGCCUUGUACACACCGCCCGUCACACCAUGAGAGUUUGUAACACCCAAAGUCGGUGGGGUAACCUUUUAGGAACCAGCCGCCUAAGGUGGGACAGAUGAUUAGGGUG
rnacentral:rRNA from 1 species